GGGCAGCCUAGAUAGUCUGGAAAUCAAGCCUUAUGAGGGAUGACUUAAGAAGCUGCAUAUGUUCAAUUUGCAGAAGACUGAGAGGAGAAAUGAUAGCUGUUUUCAAAUAUUUCAAGGAACGUCAUGUGGAAGAUGGAGUGAGCUUGUUUUCUGAGGCCCAGAGACUAAAAUAUGAUCCAGUGGAUUCAAAGUAACGUAUAAAAAAGAAAUGCCAGCUAAGUAUUGCAAAGAACAUAUUCGCUGUUCAAGAAUGUCAUGUCAUGUUUAUUCAGUACUUAGACCAUAGGUCUUUCACAUAUAGGAUGAACAAAAAAAAUACAUACAAACCAGAUUAUAAAAUACUACAUGAAAUACACCAUUAAAUACUAUGUAAAUCAUUAAAAUGCGACAUAUAUUAGCUGUUCAAGAGUGGGAUAAGGUGCUGCAAAGGGUAGUGGACUUUCCAUUUUGGAGAUAUUUAAACAGAAAUUGAAUGAGUAUCUUUCAGGAGUGCUUUAGUUGUAGUUUCCCAGCUGUUAGAUACACACACACACACCUCCCCCCAUUUUCUUUCGACUAGUUCUUGAAAUAUACAAUAGUUACCCAUUUAAACAUUUAGGUAAUCAGCUCACUCAGAGUUAUAUAUUUGUUAUAGGGAGUCCAUUAACUAAAGGCCUUGGGCUUUGUCACAUGAGGCUGAAAAACUGCAGUUACCAUAAAACAUUUGGAAUUAACACCAAGAACUAGAAAGUCCUGCCACUGGGGUGUUGUAACUGGAGGCCAGCUGUUACCAAUGGUGCCAUGGAUUUUGAAGAGGCAUGAAUACAGGGCAAAAAGAAGAAAUAGGCCAAGAGGAAAGUGCAUCAAGCAAACCCUUGUUGGGACCACGUUCCAUCUGGAAAUCUAUGUCGUCAGUGUGAAAGAUCAUGUGGGUGCAGAAUAGGUCUCCACAGUCACCCAUGGACCCAUGACCAAGACUCUACCUCUGAAAGACAAUCAUAUUCAGCCACGAGGGAUUGCCUAUGGUGAUUAUGACGACGACCAUGUUUGGCUUGUAUUUAUCACAAGACAUGGUAUACUUCCUGUUGCUGCUUUGCAUUUCACUUUUUAUUCUGACAAGCCUUUGAAAAUUGAUAUUUUAUGGGAACAGGUCUUGUAUAACGUGCUGCAUUCUUGUUGUUGUUUUGGAUGGUAUAUCUUGUCAUCUGGUUUUUAACUUUUUAACUUUUGUAUGCUGUGAAUUCUAAACUGCGUAUUUUAACUAUUGUAAACUGUAUUGAGUUCCAAACUGGGAAAUGAAGGCAUCAUUACGCCUACUUUUACUAUAACUAAUACCAACAGGAAAAACAAGAACAUCUUUGAGUAAAAGUACAAUUAUCCCCAAGACUGUGACUUUACCCACCUCCACUGAAUCCCAUGUUGUGUAGCAUAAACAGACCACCCACAACUUUCAGCAUCACUGGCUGCAUCUGGAUGUGUAUCAGUUUCUGAGAACUGCAGACUUUUAUUUUUUAAAAGACGAUUGAAAUUUGCCAGGAGUGACUUCAUCUUCUGGGAUUGCUCCGAAGCUUUAGGACAAUCACUCAUUGUGCUUUAGAUAAGUAAUUCUUUUCAAUGGGUUACUCCCCAAUGGCACGGAAAUUAAGGAAUCCAGUUUCCCAUUGAGAUGUUGCCAUUUGAUCAGUCUUGGCCUUGGAAGAGCUCCUUUCCUUUCCCAGUCUCAGUUAACGUGCACAUAUAAUUUACGUCCUAUUUAUAGUUCUAUGACCCAUUUCAUUUUCGGCCAAGUGGUCUUUUGAGUGAAAGGAUUUCGAAUGAGACGAACAAUUCAAACCCCAAAGACCUGCAAAAGCUUUAGACACUACAAACCAAUUUGCACAGCUGCCUUGUAUCCUCCACCAGAUGGAACUGAGGAGUCAGAAAAACCAACACACUUUAUUUUCUGUAGAAGAAUAGGCAGGACUGAGGGGAGACUACCAUAGCUAAGGAGACUUUUGUUUUCCAGCCACAACAUUCCUGCCAAAAUGGAGGCAGAGAACAGAGAGAUCCGAACUUUCUGAAGUGGUAUCAGGGGUCAGUUGGGCUUUCCAACCCAGUGCAUCGUUCCAGGCAACUCUUGUCAACCAAUUUCUGAAGAAAGAGAGCAAUUAACACAUCAUUUUCAAUUGUUUAAUUCUCUUUGAUCAAAGUGGAAGUCACAAAAAAAUAUCAUUAACCCCAUGAAGACACAAUGUCCAGAUCACCCUAAUCUCACAGAAUCAGCACACAGUUACAGACUUGUAAAAGCUACUUCUAGUAAUGCUGGAUUUUCUUCUAUCGCUGACAGGGCUAAACAUUUGUAAAAAGACAGUCUGCUUCUAUAGAACUCUAAGGAAAAAAAGGAAAGAAAAGUACUCUUGUUUGUACUUAACACGCACAGACGAGCCUUUGGAACAUAAACAAGUAUUGUUGCAUGAUGCUUCUUCAUAUCAAAAAUACCAGGGUCUCUGCUGAACAUACAAAUGGAACGCUGAGCAACUACGCUGUUCAUACUGUGGGAUCAUAAAUUGAGGAGAACUUUUACACCUGCAUUACACCACUCCUAUCCUUAAAGGAGCAUUUGACAACAUGAAUGCAAACACAA